ACGGAGGGUGCGAGCGUUAUCCGGAAUUACUGGGUUUAAAGGGUGCGUAGGCGGCUUUGUAAGUCAGGAGUGAAAGUUUGCAGCUCAACUGUAAAAUUGCUUUUGAUACUGCGAGGCUAGAAUUAGGAUGAGGUCAGCGGAAUGUGGCAUGUAGCGGUGAAAUGCAUAGAUAUGCCAUAGAACACCAAUUGCGAAGGCAGCUGGCUAGACCUGGAUUGACGCUGAGGCACGAAAGCGUGGGGAGCGAACAGGAUUAGAUACCCUGGUAGUCCACGCCCUAAACGAUGCUUACUCGACGUAUGGCACUAGUUGUUGUGCGUCCAAGGGAAACCGUUAAGUAAGCCACCUGGGGAGUACGACCGCAAGGUUG
rnacentral:rRNA from 1 species